AGAAUCAACGCUGGCGGCGUGCCUAACACAUGCAAGUCGAACGAGAAAGUGGAGCAAUCCAUGAGUAAAGUGGCGCACGGGUGAGUAACACGUGACUAACCUACCCUUGAGGUGGGGAUAACCUAAGGGAACCUGGGCUAAUACCGCAUAAUACCGAGAGGUACAAAGGAGCAAUUCGCUUAAGGAGGGGUCGCGGCCGAUUAGUUAGUUGGCGGGGUAAUGGCCCACCAAGACUAUGAUCGGUAU
rnacentral:rRNA from 1 species